CAAAUGUAAAGUGUACGCUGUGU
rnacentral:snRNA from 1 species